rnacentral:rRNA from 1 species
GACAGAGGGUGCAAACGUUGUUCGGAUUUACUGGGCGUAAAGCGUGUGUAGGCGGCUUGGCAAGUUGGAUGUGAAAUCCCGCGGCUCAACCGUGGACGUGCAUCCAAAACUGCUUCGCUAGAGUCUCGGAGAGGAAGGUGGAAUGCUUGGUGUAGAGGUGAAAUUCGUAGAUAUCAAGCAGAACACCUGCGGCGAAGGCGGCCUUCUGGACGAUGACUGACGCUGAGACACGAACGCGUGGGGAGCAAACAGG